rnacentral:lncRNA from 1 species
AAUGAAAUGAAAACAUAAAUUUAACAACUAACUGUAGCAAUAACAACAUAACUGGUACCAUGCCGCCUGGCAUGUACAAUAACUAACUAUUCAAAAAUACACAUAAAUCUCAAAACCCGGAACAUCAUAAAUCACAAGCUACAGAAGGAAACUAGUAUCUCUAUACACCAGAGUCUAAUAAUAUAAGUAAGGAAGGUAAAUGACAUAUGAGGGAAUAGAGGGGGACUCCGAGGUCUGCGGACGCGGCAGAUAUACCUUAAAGUCUCCGUACAUCAACAAGCACUCUCAACUAGUAGCGGGGUUGAUAAGAAGUACAUGGAUCUUCACACAAAACAAGUACACAAGAGUAGCAUGAGUACACCACAACGGUACCCAGUAAGUGCAAGCCUAACCUCGGUCGAGUAGUGACGAGAUCAGGUCAGGGCCCUACUGGUAUAUAUAAAAUAAACUAAGACAGAAUGAAAUAUUGCAAUAAAAUAAGUACUGAAAUUUAACAAAGAAUGAAAUCAUAGCAAGUCAACAGCUCAGUACACUGAAAUAACAACAGGGAAUCUACCGGAAUACCGUUCCGCAGUCCCAAAUUAAAUAUGCAGAGCAGGGGGAUCUACUGGAAUAUCGUUUCGUAGUCCCAAAGUAAAUAUGUAGAAGAAGGGGAUCUACCGGAAUACCGCUACGUAGUCCCAAAGUAAAUAUGCAGAGCAGGGAGAUCUACCGGAAUACCGUUUCGUAGUCCCAAAGUAAAUAUGCAGAGCAGGGAGAUCUACCUGAAUACCGUUUCGUAGUCCCAAAGUAAAUAUGCAGCGCAGACAAUGGAAAUACAACUACAUCACGAAAUCUUACGAUUUAGACUAAGUAUCAGUGAAGAAAGAAGCAGAAAAUUCACUAAGCAUAUUGAACAUAGUUCACAUAAGCAAUUAAGACAUAUAGACAUGUUCUUCUAGACUAAACAGGAUAAAUUCAUAUCCUAGUGUAGCUCAGUUAAAGGAAGACAGGUAUUUUACAUAAUGAAAAUGGAGUUUUGCAACAAUAGCCCAUGUACGCACUCGUCACCUCACGUACGCGACACUCAUGUAUCAAAAGCAGUACCAAAUCCUAAUGGGAGUUCCACCACACAAGGUUAGGCAAGCCACUUACCUCGAACCAAGCUCAAUCAAUCGGUAACUAUGCCUUUUCCACAAAUAUCCGACUCCGAAUGGCCCAAAUCUAGCCAAAAAUAAUUUCAUAUCAUAAAUACAACUAUAAUAGGCUCAUCUAAUUAAUGAAAUCAAUACUUUAACAAAAAUUUCAAAAUUCGCCCUAGAAAGUCGACCCGGGCCCACGUCUCGGCAUCGAGCAGAAAUCACAAAAUUCGAAAGCCCAUUCACUCACGAGUCCAACCACACCAAAUUUAUCAAAAUCCGACCUCAAAUGACUACUCAAAACCCCAAAUCAAACUCUUCAAAUCUCUAGCCUCCAACUCCCAAUUUCCACCUUAAAUACACACUAACUAGGUGGGAUUAUAAAUGGGGAAGCAAGAUUAUUGAUCAAAAAUAAGUACAAGGGACUUACCUGAAGAAACCCCUCAAAAUGCUCCCAAGAAAUCGCCAAACUCGAGUUCAAAAUGUUGAAAAUGAGCAAAAAUCGCGAACCUUUGCAUUUAAGUGUUUUGUCCAGAAAUCUCGCACAUGCGUACUCUCUGUCGCAUCUGUGACGCCGCACCUGCGGAAACAACAUCGCAGAUGCGGAUUCCACUUAGAAGCCCAGGCUCCGCUGUGCGGAAAUGUAUCGCACAUGCGGCUUCCCCUCGUACCUGCGCCCAGUUGCCCGCAUCUGCGAAUCUCGCAGGUGCGGGAAUAUCUUCGCACCUGCGGUUCCUGCCCAGCUCCUUCUUGGCCGCAUAUGUGGCUCCUCCUUCGCAUAUGCGAUCCCGCACAUGCGCUCUCCCGUCCACAUGUGCGAAAGCACCAGAAACCAGAAAAUCUUCAGCAACUAGCUUAAGUCCAAAUUCAAUCUAUUAAGCAUCCGAAACACACCCGAGGCCCCCAGGAUCUCAACCAAAGAUAACAACAAGUACUAAAACACCAUACAAACUUAGUCGAGCCCUCAAAUUACAUAAAACAACACUAAAAACACGAAUCACCCUCCGAUUCAAACUUAAUGAACUUUAAACUUUAAAUUUCUACAACCGAUGCCGAAACCUAUCAAAUCACGUCCGAUUGACCUCAAAUUUUGCACACAAGUCAUAUUCGAUAUUACGGACCUACUCCAACUUCCGGAAUUGGAUUCCAACCCCGAUAUCAAACUUUUCACUAUCGGUCCAAAACUCCAAAAAUUCGACUUUCGUCAUUUCAAGCCUAAAUGAGCUACAGGCCUCCAAAACACAAUCCGGACACGCUCCCAAGCCAAAAAUCACCCAAGGGAGCUAACGGAGCCGACGAAACUCCAUUCCGGAGUCGUCUUCACACAGUUCCGCUUACGGUCAAAAUCCUAAGACUUAAGCUUCCAUUUAGGGACUAAGUGUCCCAAAACACUCUAGAAACCAAAACGAAACCUCCCGGCAAGUCACAUAAGCAGAAAACGGUACGGGGGAAACAGUAAAUAGGGGAUCGGGGCUAAUACACUCAAAACGACUGACCGGGUCGUUACAUCCUCCACUUCUUAAAAUAAUCGUUUGUCCUCGAACGAGCAUAGAGACAUACUUGAAGUGGUAAAAGAUGAGGAUAACGGUUGCGCAUAUCCUGCUCGGUCUUCCAAGUCGCCUCCUCAACCGGAUGACCUCCCCACUGAACCUUCACGAAAGCAAUGUUCUUUGACCUUAGCUUUCUGACCUGCCUGUCUAAAAUAGCCAUUGGCUCCUCAACAUUAGAUAGAUCCUUGUCCAACUGGACUGAGCUGAAAUCCAAUAUAUGAGCCAGAUCACCGUGAUACUUCCGGAGCAUCGAAAUAUGAAAUACCGAAUGAACUCCUGCUAGGCUGGGAGGUAAGACAAGCUCAUAAGAAACCUCCUCAACACGCCGCAACACCUCAAAAAGACCAAUGAACCUUGAGCUCAGCUUGCCCUUCUUUCUGAAUCUCAUAAUGCCCUUCAUAGGCGAAACCCGGAGUAAGACCCGCUCUCCAACCAUGAAUGGAACAUCGUGAACCUUUCGGUCCGCCUAACUCUUCUGUCUGGACUGGGCUGUGCAAAGUCUAACCUGAAUCACCUUAACCUUUUCCAAGGCAUCCUGAACCAAGUCCGUACCCAAUAAUUUGGCCUCGGUCAGCUCGAACCAACCCACUGGGGACCGACAUCGCCUACCAUAUAGAGCCUCAUACGGUGCCAUCUGAAUGUUGGAAUGAUAACUGUUGUAAGAAAACUCCACAAGUGGCAAGAACUGAUCUCAAGCACCCCCAAAAUAUAUCACACACGCACGGAGCAUAUCCUCCAGUAUCUGAAUAGUGCGCUCGGAUUGUCCAUCCGUCUGAGGGUGAAAUGUUGUGCUUAACUCAUGUUGUACAGCUCUCCAUAAUCGUGAUGUAAACUAUGUACCCCAGUCAGAGAUGAUAGUUACUGGUACGCCAUGAAGCCUGACGAUCUCGCGGAUGUAAAUUCGAGCUAGCUUCUCGGAAGAAUAGGUAGUCAUCACAGGAAUGAAAUGAGCUGACUUGGUCAGCCUAUCUACAAUCACCCAAACUACAUCAAACUUCCGCUGAUUCUGUGGGAGUCCAACAACGAAGUCCAUACUGAUCUGCUCCCAUUUCCACUCCGGAAUCUCUAUCUUCUAAAACAACCCACCCGGUCGUUGCUGCUCAUACUUCACCUGUUGGCAAUUUAGACAUCUAGUCGCAUACUCUACUAUAUCUUUCUUCAUCCUUCUCCACCAAUAAUGCUGCCUCAGGUCCUGAUACAUCUUUAUGGCACCCGGAUGAAUGGAGUACUGCGAGCUGUGAGCCUCCUAGAGAAUCAACUCACGCAAACCAUCCACAUUAGGCACAUAUAGCCUGUCCUGCAUCCUCAAUGCACCAUCCUCCCCAAUAAUGACCUCCUUAGCAUCACCAUGAUAGACCGUGUCCUUAAGGACAAGCAGAUGGGGGUCUUCAUAUUGAUGUUCCCUGAUACGAUCAUAAAGAGAAGACUGAGAGACCACACAAGCCAAUACUCGACUCGGCUCAGAAAUAUCCAAUCUCACAAACUGGCUCGCUAAGGCCUGAAUAUCCAAUGCCAUAGGCCUCUCUGCUGCUGGUAGAUAUGCUAAACUCCCCAAACUCUCUACCCAACGACUCAAAGCAUCGGCCACUACAUUGGCCUUCCCGGGCUGGUACAAAAUGGUGAUGUCAUAAUCCUUAAGCAGCUCUAACCAUCUCUUCUGACGCAAAUUAAGAUCCUUCUGCUUGAACAGAUGAUGCAAACUCCAGUGAUCGGUAUUGAUCUCACAAGGGACACCGUACAAAUAGUGCCUCUAAAUCUUCAAGGCAUGAACAAUAGCUGCUAGCUCAAGGUCGUGGACAGGAUAGUUCUUUUCAUGCACCUUCAGUUGUCUGGGCGCGUAGGCAAUCACCCUAUGAUCCUGCAUCAACACCAUGCCUAGACCAAUCCGCGUUGCAUCAUAAUAUACAGUAUAAGACCCCGAACCUAUAGGCAAUACCAAUACUGGGGCUAUAGUCAAAGUUGUCUUGAGCUUCUGAAAGCUCUUCUCACAUUCCUCUGUCUACCUGAACGGAGCACCCUUCUAGGUCAGCCUGGUCAUAGGUGCUGCAAUAGAUGAGAAACCCUCAACGAACCAACGGUAAUACCCCGCCAAACAAAGAAAACUCUAAAUCUUCGUAGUUGAGCACGGUCUGGGCCAACUCUGCACUGCUUCAAUCUUCUUCGGAUUCACUUGGAUCCCAUCACUCGAUACUAUAUGAUGAAGAAUACCACUGAGUCUAGCCAAAACUCACACUUUGAAAAUUUUGCAUAUAACUUCUUUUCUCUCAAGGUCUGAAGCGCAGUCCUCAGGUGCUGCUCAUGAUCUUCCUGAGUCCGAGAAUACACCAGAAUAUCGUCAAUAAACACAAUGACGAAUGAGUCAAGAUAAGGCCGGAACACACUGUGCAUCAAGUGCAUAAAAGUUGUUGGGGCAUUGGCCAACCCAAAAGACAUAACAAGAAACUCAUAGUGACCAUAUCUAGUCCUGAAAGCAGUCUUCGGGAUAUCUGGCUCCCGAAUCUUCAACUUAUGAUAUCCUGAACGUAAGUCAAUCUUGGAAAACACUCGGGCACCCUGUAAUUGAUCAAACAAGUCAUCAAUACGAGGCAAUGGAUACCUAUUCUUCACUGUGACAUUGUUCAACUAGCAGUAAUCAAUACACAUCCGCAUAUAACCAUUCUUCUUCUUCACAAAUAAGACAGGAGCAACCCAAGGUGAUACACUUGGCCGAAUGAAGCCCUUAUCAAGCUAUUCCUGUAACUGCUCCUUCAACUCUUUCAAUUCAGAAGGAGCCAUACGAUAUGGAGGAAUAGAGAUGGGCUGAGUACUCGGCAAAAAAUCAAUGCCAAAAUCAAUAUCUUUGUCGGGCGGCAUGCCCGGAAGAUCAGCUGGGAACACAUCUGGAAAGUCCCUCACUACUGGAACUGACCCAAUCGUAGGGGUAUCAAUACCGACAUCUCUCACAUAAGCUAGAUACGCGUCACAUCCCUUCUCAACCAUUCGCUGAGCUAUAAGAAAUGAAAUAAUUUUGCUCGGAGUAUACUCCAAGGUACCUCUCCACUCUAAUUGUGGUAAACCUAGCAUAGCCAGCGUCACAAUUUUGGCGUGACAAUCAAGAAUAGCAUAAUGAGGCGACAACCAGUCCAUGCCCAAAAUAAUAUCAAAGUUCACCAUGCUGAGCAAUAAUAAAUCGGCUCUGAUCUCAAAACCACUAAGAGCAAUCAAACACGACCGAUACACACGGUCCACAACAAGAGAAUCUCCCACAAGAGUAGACACAUAAACAGAAAAACUCAAAGAAUCCCGAGAUACGCCCAAAUAUGGGGCAAAAUAAGAGGACGCAUAGGAAUAUGUAGAGCCUAGGUCAAAUAAUACUGACGCAUUUCUAUGACAGACUGGAACAAUACCUGAAAUGACAGAAUCAUAAGCAAUUGCCUCUGUACGAGCAGGAAGGGCAUAAUAUCUGGCCUAGCCUCCCCCUCUAGGGCGACCUCUACCUCCCGACCUCCACCUCGAGCUGGCUGAGCAGGUGGGAUUAUAGCUGGUGCUGUAAUCAUAUCCUGAGGACCCAGUAGAGCACGUUGUAGCUGAAACGUCUGUAGAAUUCCACCCCUCCUAAUCAUGGGGCAAUCCCCCACCAUAUGGCAAGUGUCGCCACACUCAAAACAAGCUUUGGGAGGGCGUGGCUGCUGUGACUGGCUCGGGCUAGGUCUGUUGGACUGGCCGCUAGGAACACCCCGUGCAGGAGACACACUAGAUACUGGUAGUGCAUAAUAAGGCUCCUAGGGUCUAGAAGGAGUUGGAACACCGCUGGCGGCUGGAACAACUGAAUGAAUGGGGCGGCUUACAUGACCCCUACCAUGGCGAGUUGCUAGGGCACGAACUCCAAAAUAAUAACCAGUAUCUCGAGACCUCUUGGCCUAUCUCUCCUCUCUAUCUUAGGCAAGCAGUCCCUCCAAUCUCCUAGUAAUAUUCACAACUUGCUGAUAAGAAAUAUCCAUAUCCAACUCCCUGCCAUACUAAUCCGGAUGUUGGGGUGGAGUCCCUCAAUAAACAGUCAAACCCUCUCUCGAACUAUGGCAACCAAGACCGGUGCAUGUCGGGCCAAAACACUGAAAGGGACUGCAUACUCAGACACAGUCAUAGAACCCUGGCGCAGCUACUCGAACUCCGCGCGCAAUGAGUCCCAGAGGCUCUGAGGGACAUACUCUCUCAAAAACAUGUCCGAGAACUGAGUCCAUGUAUGUGAAGCUGCCUCAGCCUGACUACUCAACUCAUAAGCACGCCACUACUGAUAGGCUGCUUAUCUAAGCUGGAAUGUAGUAAACGAAACCCCACUCGACUCCGCUACACCCAUAGUACGGAGAAUACGAUGACACUUAUCCAGAAAACCCUAAGUAUCGUCUGUAGCCAAUCCGCCGAAGGUAGGUGAGUGGUAUUUCUUGUACCUCUCAAGUCUGAGCUACUCCACCUCAGAAGUUGUUGCCCUGACUUCGGGCUGAGCUAGAGCUACCGGCAGCAUUGGUAAAAUCUCUAGAACCUGGUCGACCUAAACCCGCUGCUCUGGAGUACAGGCGACGGGAGUUUGUGCUCCUCCCCCGGCCUGAGAUGUGGCAGGAGCAAGUGGAAUCAAUCCAGCCUGAGCUAAGGUGUUGAACAUGCUCAGAAACUGAGCUAGACUCUCUUGGAGGGUUGGUGCAGCAACAGAUAUCUCAGGUGUCUACCCUCCAGCUGGAGCUACUGGGGGAUCCUCUGUAGCAGCUCGUGCGGGUGCUCUAGCUGCACCACAUGGAAGUCCUCGGCCUCUACCCCGGCCUCUCGCAACUCUAGCAUGGGGCGCGGGUGCCUAAUCAUCAGAUCCACUUGUACGUGUCCUCACCAUUUGUGAGAGAAUAGAAUACAAAAGUUAAGAAUUUCGAAGUCAACAAUUUCACACGACAAGGAAUCAAAGAAGUGAAAUUUUUCCUAAUAGUUCCAUAGCCUCCCGAAGAUAAAUACAGACGUCUCUGUACCAAUCUGCGAGACUCUACUAAACUUGCUUGUGACUCACAACAUCUAUGAACCUAGAGCUCUCAUACCAACUUUUUACGACCCAAAUUUUCCCUCCGCAUGACGUCGUGAUGGCACCUAGUCUCUACGACAAGGUAAGCCUGAUAUUUGCGGAAUAAUGAAAUGAAAAUAUAAAUUUAACAACUAACUUUAGCAAUAACAACAUGACUGGGUACCAUGCCGCCUCGCAUGUAUAAUAACCAACUAUUCAAAAAUACACAGAAAUCUCAAAACCCGGAAUAUCAUAAGUCACAAACUACAGAAGGAAACUAGUAUCUCUAUACACUAGAGUCUAAUAACAGAAGUAAGGAAGGUAAAUGACAUAGGAGGGAAUAGAGGGGGACUCCGAGGUUUGCGGACGUGGCAGAUAUACCUUGAAGUCUCCGGACAGCAACAAGCACUCUCAGCUAGUAACGGGGUUGAUAAAAAGUAUCUGAAUCUGCACACAAAACAUGUGUAGAAGAGUAGCAUGAGUAUACCACAACGGUACCCAGUAAGUGUCAAGCCUAACCUCGGUCGAGUAGUGACGAGAUCAGGUCAGGGCCAUACUAGUAUAUAUAAAAUAAACUAAGACAGAAUGAAAUAUUGCAGUACAAUAAGUACUGAAAUUUAACAAAGAAUGAAAUCAUAGCAAUUCAACAGCUCAGUAUACUGAAAUAACAACAGGGGAUCUACCGGAAUACCAUUUUGUAGUCCCAAAGUAAAUAUGCAGAGCAGGGGGAUCUACCGGAAUAUCGUUCCAUAAGUCCCAAAGUAAAUAUGCAGAGCAGGGGGAUCUACCGGAAUACCGUUCCGUAGUCCCAAAGUAAAUAUGCAGAGCAGGGGAUCUACCAGAAUACCGUUUUGUAGUCCCAAAGUAAAUAUGCAGCGCAAACAAUGGAAAUACAACUACAUCAUGAAAUCUUACGAUUUAGACUAAGUAUCAGUCAAGGAAGAUGCGGGAAAUUCACUAAGCAUGCUGCACAGAAUUCACAUAAGCAAUUAAGACACGUAUACAUGUUGUUCUAGACUAAAUAGGAUAAAUUCAUAUACAAGUGUAGCUCAGUUAAAGGAAGACAGUUAUUUUACUUAAUGAAAACGGAGUUUUGCAACAAUAGCUCGUGUACACACUCGUCACCUCACGUACACGGCGCUCAUAUAUCAAAAGCAGUAUCAAAUCCUAAGGGGAGUUCCCCCACACAAGGUUAGGCAAGUCACUUACCUCGAACCAAGCUAAAUCAAUAGGUAACAAUGUCUUUUUCACGAAUAUCCGACUCUCAAUGGCCCAAGUCUAGCCAAAAAUAAUUGCAUAUCAUAAAUACAACUAUAAUAGACUCAUCUAAUCAAUGAAAUCAAUACUUUAACAAAAAUUCCAAAAUUCGCCCUAAAAAGUCGACCCGAGCCCACAUCUCGAAAUCGGGCAAAAAUCACAAAAUCCGAAAUCUCAUUCACUCACGAGUCCAACCAUUCCAAAUUUAUCAAAAUCCGACCUCAAAUGACUACUCAAAACCCCAAAUCAAACUCUUCAAAACUCUAGCCUCCAACUCCCAAUUUUCACCUUAAAUACACACUAACUAGGUGGAAAAAUAAAUGGGGAAGCAAGAUUAUUGAUCAAAAAUAAGUACAAGGGACUUAGCUCAAGAAACCCCUCAAAAUGCUCCCAAGAAAUCGCCAAACCCGAGUUCAAAAUGUUGAAAAUAAGCAAAAAUCGUGAACCUUUGCAUUUAAGUGUUUUGUCCAGAAAUCUCGCACAUGCGGACUCUCUGUCGCAUCUGCGACGCCGCACCUACGAAAAUACCUUCGCAGGUGCGGAUUCCACAUAGAAUCCCAGGCUCCGCUCGUGCGGCUAUGCGACCGCAUCUCCGACUAUUGUAGGUGUGGAAAUGCAUCGCACCUGCGGCUUCCCCUCACACCUGCGCCUAGCUGCCCGUAUCUACGACUCUCGCAGGUGCGGGAAAAUCUUCGCACCUGCGGUUCUUGCCCAGCUCCUUCUUGGCCGCAUCUGCGGCUCCUCAUUUGCAUAUGCGAUCCCGCACCUGCGGUCUCCCGUCCGUAGGUACGAAAACACCAGAAACAAGAAAAUCUUCAGCAACUAGCCUAAGUCCAAAUUCAAUCCGUUAAGCAUCCGAAACACACCCGAGGCCCCCGGGACCUCAACCAAACAUACCAACAAGUCCUAAAAUACCAUACAAACUUAGUCGAGCCCUCAAAUCACAUCAAAUAACGCUAAAAACAUGAAUCACCCUCUGAUUCAAACUUAAUGAACUUGAAACUUUAAACUUCUACAACCGAUGCCGAAACCUAUCAAAUCACGUCCGAUUGACCUCAUAUUUUGCACACAAGUCAUAUUCGACAUUACGGACCUACUCCAACUUCCGGAAUUGAAUUUCGACCCCGAUAUCAAAAUUUCCACUACCGGUCCAAAUUUCACCAUUUCAAGCCUAAAUGAGUUAUAGACCUCCAAAACAUAAUUCGGGCACGCUCCUUAGUCCAAAAUCACCCAACGAAGCUAAUGGAACCGGCGAAACUUCAUUCCGGAGUCAUCUUCAUACAGUUCCGACUACGGUCAAAAUCCUAAGACUUAAGCCUUUAUUUGGGGACUAAGUGUCCCAAAACACUCUAGAAACCAAAAUAAAACCUCCCGGCAAGUCACAUAAGCAGAAAAAGGUACUGGGAAAACAGUAAAUAGGGAAUCGGGGUUAAUACACUCCAAACGACCGGUCGGGUCAUUACAGAAAAUGCAUAACUUAGUUUAUCUUUUUCUUUAGUGCUUAGUUAUGUAAAUAAUAUUUAGUACUUAUUAGGCUAUACNNNNNNNNNNNNNNNNNNNNNNNNNNNNNNNNNNNNNNNNNNNNNNNNNNNNNNNNNNNNNNNNNNNNNNNNNNNNNNNNNNNNNNNNNNNNNNNNNNNNNNNNNNNNNNNNNNNNNNNNNNNNNNNNNNNNNNNNNNNNNNNNNNNNNNNNNNNNNNNNNNNNNNNNNNNNNNNNNNNNNNNNNNNNNNNNNNNNNNNNNNNNNNNNNNNNNNNNNNNNNNNNNNNNNNNNNNNNNNNNNNNNNNNNNNNNNNNNNNNNNNNNNNNNNNNNNNNNNNNNNNNNNNNNNNNNNNNNNNNNNNNNNNNNNNNNNNNNNNNNNNNNNNNNNNNNNNNNNNNNNNNNNNNNNNNNNNNNNNNNNNNNNNNNNNNNNNNNNNNNNNNNNNNNNNNNNNNNNNNNNNNNNNNNNNNNNNNNNNNNNNNNNNNNNNNNNNNNNNNNNNNNNNNNNNNNNNNNNNNNNNNNNNNNNNNNNNNNNNNNNNNNNNNNNNNNNNNNNNNNNNNNNNNNNUAUAUUAUAUAGUUGUAUUUUACUAGGAUUUAAGAAAUAUUUAGAGCAUAAGUUACUAUAUUUUAUGUUAUGAAGAUUUUACCGGAAAAAACUCAAAAACUCUAAAAAAAACCCAAAAAAUUUAGAGAAAAAUCGAGAUUGAAAAAUCCGACUUUGUUGGUUUGGUUUAUAAAUUUAAAAAACCGUCACCAUUGAUUUGGUUUUGAUAAUUGAAAAAUUCGAAUCAACCCACAUAUGUAAACGAUACUCUAUUCCAGUCAUAUAGGAAUUUAUUCCCAUUUGAUUAAAAGCACCUAAACAGGUUAUAUAUAUGAGGCAACUUCAUCAAACAUUUACAAAUUAAAGAAAAAGAAGAGAGAACCUUUGUGCAGAAAACUUCGCCGGAAUCCACGGACCUCCAAACUCACCGAAAAAUCUGGAAAACUCGGCGAUAAAACAGAUUGAAAAUGAGCUAUUCGUGGUUGCUUUUUACUGGUUAUUGGGGUGAUGAUUUGGUGGUUUAGGGACUGUUUUUGGGUAGUUUUUGAACAGCUUUUCAGCUAGGUUCCAUGGAGGAAAACAAUUGGUUUCAAGGUUUUUCCCCUGAUUUUGACGAUGGAGCUUGAUUUAUAGAGUUUUCAUGGUUAGAAAUUUUUUGGGUCUCGCUAUGGGAAGCUUGGAAAAUGCAGAAGAAGGCCGUUUUUCAGUUGUUU